ACUACUAAGUCACUACUGUGAUCCAGUGAAUUCAAAGGCAGAGGAACACAGGAAGAGUGCAGGUCUGAGCUGCUUAACAGGCUCAGAGAUAUGUGUCUGUGUUUGACCCUCAGUGGGAGGAAGGGGCAUAGGCUACUGGUAGAUGCCCAGUUUUACCAUAUUAUGCUGUUGCACUGGAUACUAUUAAGAAGACAGGCACAUUUCUGGGUGCCAGGGAAGAGGCAGUGGUUCCAGAUGAGUCAGACUGCUGUUGUCACCUCCUCCCUGCUGGAAAGACAAGACUCAGCAGCUCCUUGGAGAUGUUCAGAACUUGGGGUGAAGGCAUAAAGAGCGGUUGGAGCUGUCUCACGAUGCUGCCAACUUCCACAGCCUUCUGGAGAAACCAACUCAGCUACAGGGUAAAAUCUGGGGGAAAUUCACCUGUCUGAUGCAAAGUUAAACUGCUGGCUUUAAUGUGACUGCAUGGGAACUUGGGUUUAUUAAUGAAUACAACAUACCCUCUUUGAUUUGAAAGCUUUCACCCUGCUGAAAAGAUUCAAAAGGCAUCGCUUCCUGCACCAGCGGCAUUCCUUUAUCCGUCUCAGUGGUUCACCCCUACCCAGCUGCUAUAUCUCAUUAACAAGCAUUUGACCACUGCAGCCGGCCUGGGAGUGUUGACACUUGAAAAGCCCAGGCAGGCGUGGGCAGGCCAUCAGCUAUGGCAACAGGAAACUGCCCCGGAGACAACACUGAGAAAACAGCAGCUGCAAAAGCCAAAGUCAGAACAGACAUAAAGGGCUGCCUAUAUCCACGUUGGUCUGGGGUAUCGGUGCCUGUCUGUGGGUCUGAAUCCACACAUCUAUUUACUGUAUUCAUGGGAUAGAAAGGUUGCUAUCAGCAUGUAUCAGAGUCAGGACUUUUUGACAACCCAGAAUAAUUUUUUUUACGACUUACGAUGUUCUUGGAUCCUUAGGUUUCUUAUUCUCCUAAUAACUUAAAUUCUUGUUUGUGUACAUAAGACUAUUCACCAGAGGCCUCAAACUUGAUACACACCUUUACUCCAGUGGAAGUCAUAUGCACAAUUUAAAAAAUGUAUAUGCAUGAACGCUUAUGCAUUUUUCAGGCUAUCACAUUAUUUUUUAAGAACAAGUCAACUUGUGAGACUGUCAUAUAAUUAUAUUAAGACUACUUUAAAAGCCUUUGGUUUAGGAAUCAAACUGUGAUGGUUUUGUGUAAAAUAUUUCAGAAUGAAAGUAUUGUUUCAAUUGUGUAACUUUGGCUCACAAAAUUAAGUGGGAUAUCUCAUAUAAUCAUUGAUUAUAAUAAUUUUAAAUACCUAUUUUAAUAUCAUUUAUUGACUAUUCAUUUAAUUGUAGGCCUUUCAAUGCUAUAAGUGUUGUUUCUACAUUGAUCAGAAGAGCUUAAAGUAUAGACUGUCUCAUGUAAUGUUUUGAGCAAGUAGUUUUCCAUAUCGUGUGUGUCCUUUUGAAGCCUAUAAAAGCAUUUUUAGUGGCUAGGUAAGCAAUAGUUCAAAAUCAAUGUUUUCCAUCUAUAAAGAAAAUAACCCUUUUUAAAACAAGAAAAAGAGAUCACUCUAUAAUAGCAGAAAAAAGCUAAAUGAAAAAAGACACUAAUGCAGUGUGUUACAAGUGAAGUUAGUGGUCUGCCAUUCAAAGAGUGGUGAAUUAUUUUCCUGUCAUUGUCAGUACAAUAGACAAUCAGUGAUGAUCACAUUGAAGUAUACCAUUACUUUAUUCAUUUGAGUAAUUCAGGUUUAUGUACGUUUGCCUAUCACUCAUCAUAAAAGCUCUUUUAAUUUCACAUUGUUACUCUAAGGUAGUUAAUUAGAUUUUUUAAAAGAUGUGAAUGUAUUUUAAAUUAUCACAGCUUGUUUUUUCGAGAUGUUGGAAUAUGCUUCUUGGGUGCAGUAAAUUUUUCAGUUCUACCUUCAUCCACCUUUUACACUCCAGGGGAAGAGAAGACUGUACCAGCCGCAUCUUCCUGAAAGCCAUUAAGAUAUUUACAUUUGAUGUCAUAGGGGUUCACGUUCAUUUCUGAUAGGCAGGAUGAUGCCCAGGCACUGGAAACAGCUUGGGAGCAACUCUCAGUUCUGCUGCCCACCAGCAAAGUGAACCUUGAGUGAGGGACUUCAAGUUUCUGUGCCUCAGACUCCCAGUCUAUUAAAUAGUGGUAAGAUGAAUAGUACUUAAUUCAUAGGCUGGUAUAAGGAUUAGAUGGAUGUACACACACAUCACACAUACACUUCAGAGUGCCUUUCUCCUAAGCAGUCUAUAACUGCUGCUAUUAAUACCAACCUCUUUUCUCACCAUAUCACACUUUAUCCCUUUAUAGUGAUUUAUAUUUCCAUAGAACUUAUUUUAUAUUGUUAUAUGUGAGUGUUGACUUAUUUAUUUUAUAAUAAAACCCUUUCUUGUCUUCCCCUAAGACACACACACACACACACACACAGCUAUACAACUAUAGGCUUUAUGAAAUUAUGGACUUGCUGAGUGAUUGCAUUUGUGUAGAGCUAGCCUCAGAGACAAAAAAGAACCAAGGAUAAAUUUUAAUGAAGCAAUGCCAUAAUAGGAAAGUGCCUGAUGUACACAGUUUCAGGAACAGGGUGAUUGCUAUUUUAAUACAUAUCUUUCUUCAUCUAUAUUGUAAAGGUGAUGCUCAUACCCUGGAAAAUCUUGCCUUGAUGCUAUUUCUACUGGACUGAUGAUUCACAGUUUCUGUCCUAUAUAUCUAUUAUUAUAAUCUUAUUCAAAGAUUGAGUCAUUUAUGUUAGGGCUCAUAUAUAAAACUAUAAGAUCUAUCUUUUAAAACUAAUUUUUAAUUAACAAAAAUUAUAUUAUGUAGGACAUAAUGUUUUGAAAUAUGUAUGCAUUUGUGGAAUGGAUAAAUCAUGCUAAUGAACAUAUCUAUGACUUAUUUUUGUGUGGGAAGAACACGUAAAAUCUGUCUUAGUGAUUUCAAGUAUACAAUACACUAUUAAUAACUAUAAUCACCAUGUUGUACAAUAGAUCUCUUGAAUUUGUUAUUCCUACCUAAAUAAAAUUUCUAUCCUUUGACCAUCA